rnacentral:rRNA from 1 species
CCUGGCUCAGGAUGAACGCUAGCGGCAGGCCUAACACAUGCAAGUCGAGGGAGGAGCUUUCGGGCUUCGACCGGCGUACGGGUGCGUAACGCGUAUACAAUCUGCCUUUCACAUAGGGAUAGCCCGAAGAAAUUUGGAUUAAUACCUAAUGGUAUAUAGGAGUGGCAUCACAUUUAUAUUAAAGCUGAGGCGGUGAAAGAUGAGUAUGCGUUCUAUUAGCUAGUUGGUAUGGUAACGGCGUACCAAGGCGACGAUAGAUAGGGGUUCUGAGAGGGAUAUCCCCCACACUGGUACUGAGAUACGGACCAGACUCCUACGG